ensembl:lncRNA
GACAGAUCCGAGUCUAAUUGAGUUUUUAAUAUAGACUUUAUGGGGUUGAGAAAGAAAGAAAGAAAGAAAGAAAGAAAGAAAGAAAGAAAGAAAGAAAGAAAGAAUAAACUGAAGUGAAAUGUGAAAGAAAGAAAGAAUAAUGGAAAUAUGAGGAGAAAAGAAAGAAGAAAGAAAAUAAGAAUGAACUGAAAUGAAAUGUGAAAGAACUGAAAGGGAACGUGAAAGAAAGAAAGAAAGAAAGAAAGAAAGAAAGAAAGAAAGAAUAAUGGAAAUAUAAGAGAAAAUAAGGAACUGAAAGGAAAUGUGAAAGACAGAAAGAAAUAUCAGAGCAAAGACUGUAAGAAAGAAAGAAAGAACUAAUAGUGGAUAUGUGAGAAAAUAAAGAAAGAAAGGAAUAAUGGAAAUGAAUAGUAAUAAAGGGAAUGUGAGGGAAAAGAAAGACGGAAAGAACUAGCAGACAAAGUGAUUGAGAAAAUGCGCUAACGCUUUGAUUUUUUAAAUCUCAUGUUCUCCCCGUGUCUAUGAGGGUUUCCUCCGGGUUCCCUGGUUUCCUCCUAAAAACAUGAUUGACAGCCAGUUCGAGGUUGCCCCUAGGUGGGAAUGAGUGUGCGAAUGAGUUUGUGUGCAUGAUGGCGUCCCGUCCAGGGUGUAUUCCCACGUCCCGGUCAGUAUUCCCACCUCCCGGUCAGUAUUCCCACGUCCCGGUCAGUAUUCCCACGUCCCGGUCAGUAUUCCCACGACCGGCACAACAUGGAACGAUAAUUUUUCCAUCCAGACUUGGGAAAGAUUAUAAAGAACAACAAAAACAACAGAAAAUCUGCACAGGAAUCUGAAUGACUGAAAGAAAGCUGAAGCUGAAGCCUCAUGAACUCCAUCACCCUGCCACAUAUUUUUAGCGCGUCUGCUAUGAGGAGUAAAUUGCAGCCGGGAUCACGUACAAACAAAUAAACCCAUCCAUGAUGAGGCUCUGGAAGAACACAAUGCCUUUUAUUUAUGAAAAUCUGCUUUUGUUGUUGAUUUUAAUUUCUGCAAAAGUUAGCUGAAGUGACGAAUCUUCCAACCUCCCCGACCCCCUUCGCAUUUUCUCCUAAAUGCCUGUUCUGUUUCUCUCUGAUAAGUUGCGUUGUUUAAGAAGCAUCCGUAUUCGUUCUGAAACUUCCUUCAAUAGAUGAACUUCAUACCCGGGGGAUUUACUAAACACAAUUCCUCAUCUUGCAUUUCCUAAUCCCUCCUUUUCUUUUCCC